rnacentral:lncRNA from 1 species
CCAGAUAGACUGUGCACACCUGGGCAGAGGGAGUGCUGGGCCCCUGCCGGAGCUGAGCACCCCAAUGGGAUGAGUGGCAGCACGGUUACCAAGACAACAGAACUCUCGACCCCUUUCCACCUGCAAGGCUCUUCUCCCUCUCCUGGGCCUGCCGAGCAUCAGGUCGGAAAGUGCUGCAAAGAACAUGGGGAGUAUCUGGACUAUCAAUACCCAGAAGUGAGAUUACUGGAUCAUAUGGUAGUUAUUUUCAAGAAGCACGAGGAGCCAUCAGAAGCCAGAAGAGGUUGUUCGUGUCUGUGGCCCUGGCCAGGAUGGAUUUCCAGCCUCUGUAAACCUAAGCCCUAUCGUGAGAGUGGCCUCAAAGUGUUAUCCCUCGUGGUGAGGAGGCUGUGCUUUUGGGCCCUUCAAGGGAGGAUCAGAGAGACUUAGCCACAGGGUGACACAACAGAACUCCCCUGGGAGUUCUCCAUGGGAGCUGCGAGGGGCCCCGUGUUCCAGUAUUCUUUGCAAAUGCAAGGAGAGCCCCGAGUCUGGAGGUUCAGAUAUCUUGCAGCGAGCCACCUGUACCAGGCCGCCAUAAAUAAUGGUGGGGUAUGUUCCCCAGUGAAGGAGCAGGUGCGAUGCAAGAAAGAUUCCGGCCAUCACUACCUGGCCACAGCCCAGGUGCCAUCAGGAACUGAAGGUCUUUGUCAAGGAAACUCGUCAUUGCAAAGCUCCUUAAACUCUCUUUGGGCGGUGGGGGCGGGGGCGGUCUCCGGGUGUCUACCUGGGUGGUACCCCCUAUAAGAAAAGGGGACCACAUGAGGCAUGAAUGUGACAAGAGGAGAAGCACGCCCUUCCUCCAAAUUGACCCCUUUAGAGAUCCCAGGAUGAGACACAAGGGCCCCGGGAGCCUCUCUGGGUCUGGUUCCUGGUGUGCAUUUGCCAGACUCUUCGGCCUCAGAGCGCUGCUGGGGCGUGAAGAAGUGCUGUAGAAGUCAUGAUUUUCUCAGCGUCAAGAGCCCAAUCAGGAUCUGGAAGUGGUGGAGUGGCCUCGGAGUUCCAGGUACUCGAGAGGCUGAGGUGGGAGGAUGGCUUGAGCCGAGUUCAAGGCUGUAGUGAUGUAUGUUUGCACGACUGCACUCCAGCCUGGGUGACAGAGCAAGACCUUAUAUCAAAAAAAAAACAAAACCGAAUCAGGCAAUGCGUAUAUAAAUGUUUUCUAAAUCUUACAGCUCCACGUGAAGUAAGAGUGCUAUUACUGAUUUUGUUUUUGCUGCCUAACUGUGGCGGCUGCUUCUAUUAGUAACCGAGUUCUAUUAUUAAAUGAAAACGCUCAAUGGGGCCCAAGACAGCUGACUCGCCCCGGGGCGGAGAAGCGAGACCUGCCCAAAGGGCCAUGCCAGUGCACUAGGGCGCAUGGCGUCUGUGAGAAAUGAGGAGGUUCUGCCUUGGAGAAUGAGUUUCUGCCAGGAUACAACAAUGGGAGACAAUUCUUGGGUCUGUCAGGAGCCACUGAAGUUCUCCCCUGUACCUUUCAACUCGGGAGGAAACUGGCAUUAUGUACAUUUGAAAGAAAUAGGAAGGAAAAAAGCCCUCCUUCUUUUAAUAAGAAAUUUUGGCUUGCUGCAUUUGCUCCAGGCGUCAUUCUCUGUCUGUAGAAACAUUGUUUCACUCCACCCUCCAGGGCUCAGGUCCUGGGAAGUGGGGUCUAUCUUAAUAAAGAACACUGGAGCCCGGCAUGGCUGGGGAUGUCAAUGAUGGCCCUCAAGGAGGCCCUGCUCACCUCGGUGACACGCUCAUUGGCUGCUCCACUCUCUGUGUGUGUCUGGUUUUCUCCUCUUUCUGUGCUCUGUUUGGGGAGGGUCUAUUUAUGGGGAGUUAAUAUCAUCUCAGAUGAUUAAAGAAGAGGUGGCAGCCAUGCACACUGGUACACACCAGUAAUCCCAAUCAUUUGGGAGGCGGAGGCUGGAGGAUGCUUAAGCCCAGGAGUUUGAGACCAGCCUGGGCAACAUAAUGAGACCUCAUCUCUACAAAGAAUAAAAACAUUAGCCGGCUGUGGUCGUGCAAGAUUGUACUCCCAGCUACUGGGGUGGUUGAGGUGGGAGGAUCUCUUGAGCCCAGGAGUUUGACGCUGCAGUGAGCUACAAUCAUGCUACUGUACUCCAUCCUAGGUGACAGAAAAAAAAAAAGAGAGAAAGAAAAGAAGGGGAAAAAAACCCCUUCUUUUUAUGAGAAUCUUUGGCUUACUGCUUUUUCUCUAGGCAUCCUUUCCUGGCUCUCGACACAUGUUUUGACUCCAAGCUCCAUGGCUCAGGCCCUGGGAAAUGGGGUCUGUCUUAAUAAAGGACAGUAGAGCCUGGCCUUGCAUGGGGAGGGGAACGACAGCUUCUCUCUUCUGUGUGUCUGUCAGAUUCUUUGCUCUUUCUGUGUCCUGUUUUGGGAGUCUGCUUAUGAGGGGUUAAAAUUGUCCUGGGUUACAGUAGGGAAGACAAGUACGUCCCAUUCCCUUGCUACUGUGGACUGAUAAGACGGUGUGCAGAGGAGGAGUCGCAGGGAAUGGUAUGCAGAGAGCAACAAACGCACUCAAGCCCCUCACACCCCACAAGCACGCUGGCUUAUUUAUUCUCUCUGACUGAUUUGACAUUUGUCUUGCUUGUCCACCCUCUGGACUGGAUAGUAAGGGGAAACAAACGCACUGGAUUUCCGUCUAAUCUGGUGUCAUCUGAUGCUGUCAUGUAACCGGUCCAUUUGUAUAAAUGCUCAAUCUGUUUUGGCGAAAAUGAUCAGUCUCUUGGAUUGCCACCCCACCUCCCUACUCUUGUCCAAGAUGGGGAAGGGGCAUAUAUGGCUUUUGAGUCUCCAUGGUGAUGUGGGAAGGGGCCUAUGACAUUGUCUGUUGGCUGCAGUGUCCUCGGUGGGUUCUGAGGGAAGGCUCACUCUUGUCCCCAGGUCCUGCUGGCGACGCUGCCCUGCUCACCCAUGCGUGAGGCUGGCGUAACUUGCAUUUUUGUCUCUCUCUCAUCUUGAUCAGGACCUUGUGCUCCCUGGCUGACUUGACCUCAGCCCACCUGUGCUGGCAUCUAGCAGACCCUUCUGAGUCAGGGCCUCAUGCUCUCCCCGACCCCUGACCAGUGCUGUCCACUCCACAGCCUCAGCUGCAGGGUCUCCUAGCCCCUAUCUGGCUUAUGCUUGCUUCAUGGUAGCACCGCUGGGUUUUGAAUCAGCCACUUCCACAUUCCCCUCUCAGAGAAUGUAGAGUGCUGAGGUCUCCCCAAACAGCAGGAACCAAGAUCAGCUCUACAAAGUGAAAUUCCUCAACUCCAGACAUCCCUCUGCCCAAAGAGGCUACUGGGCCAUUCUGCAAAACGAGCUCCAAAUUUGCAUGAGGUAAAACCCUCUUUUACUCGAAGCUUCUCUCCACUCCCUUGUCACACCUUCCUGCUCUGAGAUGUCUGACUCUGUCACUGCCUCUGGGGACCUCCUACCCCCUGUGACCAGAACAGGACACCUUCUUUGGCUUGUCUUUCAUGUUCACCUCAGACUUGCCCUGUUAUAUCCAGGUCAAGAAGGUCACAGUUGGGAAUUUGUACUUGGUUCAGAACAACAGUAGAAUAUGUUUCCAAGGGCCUGAGCCAUGGAGCUUGGAUUCAAAAAAAUGUGUCCAGAGCCAGGAAAGGACGCCUAGGGAAAAAGCAGUAAGCCAAAGGUUUACUGCUUCUUACUUAUAAGAAGAAGGGGAGAUUUUUCCCUCUUGUUUCUCUCUUUUUUUUUUUUUUUUGAGACACCCUCUCGUUCUGUCACCAAGGCUGGACUAUAGUGGCACAAUCAUAGCUCACUGCAGCCUCAAAAUCCUGGUUUCAAGAGAUCCUCCCACCUCAGCCACCCCAAAAUACAGAUUAGGGACAAAAGCCCUAUUGAAGGGAGUUGAGGAGGCCGUGGCCUCAGAACUCCAGGCAGUUUUUGUUGAAGGGCAGCACAUUCUGUGCCAGCAGCUGCUGAAGGACAUGUGGGGAGAGGGUGGGUUUUUCCUCCUUUGCUUGUGGAGUGCUCCAACGUAGAGAGGGCAGUUGAUGACUUUGAAGGGAGGAGGGAUCAUUGCAGGAGCAAAGCCCCUGAGAAGGUGGGAGGUAUGGGAUCCUGAGCUGAGGUGAGGAGCUGGCUUCAGUUAGGAGCACUGUAUGCAGAAGGGCGGCAGAGAAUGCCAGGGCAGGCACGGGUAGACCGGGCUUGGGAAGCCCUAAGAGUUCCCAGUGGAUUGCUUCUGUCUUCUCGAUGAAUCCUUAGGGUAGGCCACUGAAAUGGAAGAGGGUUCCUAGCAUUGUUGGGGGGUAUGUUAGCAAUGGAGGUAGGAUGACAGUGAAAGAGAGAAGCAAUCUCUCUUGGUCAUGGAGAAAGGUACAAUAAUUUGUAAGGCUGUUAAGGUUUUUCUCAUCGGUCAUGCUG